rnacentral:rRNA from 1 species
CGUUGUCGCGAAUUACUGGGCGUAAAGGGUGCGUAGGCGGGUCUUUAAGUCAGGGGUGAAAUCCUGGAGCUCAACUCCAGAACUGCCUUUGAUACUGAGGAUCUUGAGUUCGGGAGAGGUGAGUGGAACUGCGAGUGUAGAGGUGAAAUUCGUAGAUAUUCGCAAGAACACCAGUGGCGAAGGCGGCUCACUGGCCCGAUACUGACGCUGAGGCACGAAAGCGUGGGGAGCAAACAGG